UAAAUCAAUUUAAUUUGAAAUAUAGAAAUUAUAAAAUUUAAAAUUUAAUUGAAAUAUAAUUUAUUUUUAUUAUUAUUAUUGGAAAAAAUUUUUUUUAUUAUAGAGUAUUAGUAUUGAGAAAGAAUUUUUUUUUUAAUUUUAAUAUAAGAAUAAUUGAUUUUUAGUACCUUGUGUAUCAGGGUUUAUUAAAUAAUUAUAAAUAAUUUUUUAUAUUCUUGAAUUUAUAAGAGUUAAUUAUUUAUAAAUUUUAUUGUAGAAUAAAUAUUUAAAAUAAAUAGUUAGUAAUGAAACGUUAUUCGUUUAUAAAUAUAUCUAGUUUUUUAAGAAAAAAGUUUAAUUUUUUAGAUAUUAAUAUAAGUUUUUAUUAGAAAUUAAAAAUUUAAUAUUUAAUAUAAUUUUUGGGAUUAGCUAAAAAUUAGAUUUUUAUAAAUAAAUUUUAAUUUAUAAAAAAAAUGUAGGAUUAGAAAUUUUCAUCUUUAAUUUGUUAUAAUUAAUUUUUAUUUUAUAAAAAUUUAUAUUUAUUUUAAGUUUUUUAUUAAAAUAUUAAGUUUAAUAAGUAAAUUUAAUUAAUAAUGAUAAAAUUAGUAUAAAUUUAAUUUAUUAAAUAUUUUUAAGGUUAAUAUUAUAAAAAGGAAUUCGGCAAAAUAACUGUUCGCCUGUUUAAUAAAAACAUGUCUUUUAGAAUUUAAUUUAAAGUCUAGCCUGCCCAAUGAGUAGUUUAAUGGCCGCAGUAUUUUGACUGUGCAAAGGUAGCAUAAUCAUUAGUUUCUUAAUUAGUAACUGGUAUGAAAGGUUGGACGAGAUAGUAUCUGUCUCUUUAUAAUUAUUUUAUAAUUUUAUUUUUAAGUUAAAAAGCUUAAAUUUUUUUAAAAGACGAGAAGACCCUAUAGAGUUUUAUAUAUAAAUUAUUAUAUUUUUUAAUAGAAUUAUUUUUUAUUUAGUUAUUUAUAUAUUUAGUUGGGGUGAUUAAAAAAUUUAAUGAACUUUUUUUUUAAAAAUAAACAUUAAUAUAUGAAUUAUUGAUCCAUAAAUAAUGAUUAAAAGAUUAAAUUACCUUAGGGAUAACAGCGUAAUUUUUUUUUAGAGUUCUUAUCAAUAAAAAAGUUUGCGACCUCGAUGUUGGAUUAAAAUAAAAUUUUGGUGUAGAAGCUAAAAUAUUAGGUCUGUUCGACCUUUAAAAUUUUACAUGAUCUGAGUUUAAACCGGUGUGAGCCAGGUUGGUUUCUAUCUUUAAAUAAUUAAUAUGCUUUAGUACGAAAGGACCAAGCAUGUAUAAAAUUUAUUUAUAUUUGAUUAUUAUUAUUAUUUU
rnacentral:rRNA from 1 species